rnacentral:rRNA from 1 species
UACGGGGGGGGUAAGCGUUGUUCGGAAUUACUGGGCGUAAAGGGCUCGUAGGCGGCCAACUAAGUCGGACGUGAAAUCCCUCAGCUUAACUGGGGAACUGCGUCCGAUACUGGAUGGCUUGGAUUUGGGAGAGGGAUGCGGAAUUCCAGGUGUAGCGGUGAAAUGACGUAGAUAUCUGGAGGAACACCGGUGGCGAAGGCGGCAUCCUGGACCAAUAUUGACGCUGAGGAGCGAAAGCUAGGGGAGCAAACGGGG